rnacentral:other from 1 species
AGCCUCAGGGGGACCAGGGCAUCGCCUCUUUCUCUUGAAGGACACUCCCUUCUGAUGGUGAAUGGGAACUCCCUUCCUCUGCAGCCAGCCCACAGCCUCCGGUACUGUGAAGGCUGCAGCAGCUGACCCUGCCCUGAAGGAAGGCGCCCCAGAGCC